GAUGAACGCUGACAGAAUGCUUAACACAUGCAAGUCAACUGUGGCGUUCGGGUGAGUAACGCGUAAAGAACUUGCCUCACAGAUAGGGACAACAUUUGGAAACGCAUGCUAAUACCUGAUACUGUGAGAGAGCUUUGCGUCCCAUUAGCUGUUUGGAGAGGUAACGGCUCACAAAGGCGAUGAUGGGUAGCCGGCCUGGGGGGGUGAUCGGCCACAAGGGGACUGAGACACGGCGCUUACUCCUACGGGAGGCAGCAGUGGGGAAUAGUGGACAAUGGACCAAAGUCUGAUCCAGCAAUUCUGUGUGCACGAUGAAGUUGUCGGAAAGUAAAGUGCUUUCAGUUGGGAAGCGGUACCAACAGAAGAAGGGACGGCUAAAUACGUGCCAGCAGCCGCGGUAAUAC
rnacentral:rRNA from 1 species